UAAUAAGUGUUGGUUGCACAAUUUGUGCAU
rnacentral:sRNA from 1 species